rnacentral:rRNA from 1 species
AUCUUCCGCAAUGGACGCUAGUGUGACGGAGCAACGCCGCGUGAGUGAUGUAGGUUUUCGGAUCGUAAAAUUCUGUUGUUAGGGAAGAACAGGUAUCGGAGUCACUGCCGGUACCUUGACGGUACCUGACGAGAAAGCCAUGGCUAACUACGUACAAGCCGCCGCGGUAAUACGUAUGUGGCAAGCGUUGUCCGGAUUUAUUGGGCGUAAAGCGCGCGCAGGCGGUCUUUUAAGUCUGAUGUGCAAUCUUACAGCUUAACCGUAAGCGGUCAUUGGAAACUGGGAGACUUGAGUGCAGACGAGGAGAGUGGAAUUCCAUGUGUAGCGGUGAAAUGCGUAGAGAUAUGGAGGAACACCAGUGGCGAAGGCGACUCUCUGGUCUGUAACUGACGCUGAGGCGCGAAAGCGUGGGGAUCAAACA